rnacentral:lncRNA from 1 species
GGCCGUGUGAAGGAGAUUGUGAAGUGCCUUUGUAAAAGAGGUGAGGUUAUGAAUUUGUGGGCAAAUUCCUCUCAAGAUGGAGAGGAUGAUACAGUAUGAUCAUGAUCAUAACACUUUUGAGUUUUUGAAAACUAGUCAAUAAAGGGCCCUUUUGUCAUUUUGUCUAUUAUUGUAAUGUAGUAUAAAUAAAACAUUGUAGGGUUUAUUUCUUUAGUUGAUCAUUAUUAUUGAAGAAUACUUCUCUUAGAGUGAGAGAGAGUCUAAUUAAAACUAG